UGAUUGAAGUAGCAGCCGGAGAGCGAGAGGCAGUCGCUUGUUAAGCUUAACGCAGGAAUGCUUUACAAACAUUCAGAGAUGGACUUACACACUUGCUUUACUUCUCUCGGGGAUAACUUUGUCGGAGAUGAAACGCCAGGUUGCUAGCGAAGCUCCACAUGCUAUCCAGACCACCACAGGUCCCGCAUGCCACAGCCGCUCUAUCACGUGAUGCAUACUGCUCCGACGUGCUAACGUUCUGAGGUGAGUUACAGCGUGUUGCAAGUUUUGUGAGGUGCUUUCGUGAUAUUUAAUGGAUCGGAUUACAUUUUUUAUUUUUCUCCGAUAUCCGAUCCAGUAAUUUAGGUCAGUAUCGGACCGAUACAUAAUAUCGGAUCAGUCCAUCUCUAGUUAAGAUUAUAUAAUAUGAGAGUGUAUUUAGAACUCAGAUACAUCUGGAAGAAUCAGCUGCAUCAGUCAGACAGUUGCAGAAUAUGAUCAAUUGGAACUGAAAACAUUUAACUAUAUGGAUCACAAUACACAUGACUUGGAAUAUGAAAUAGAUCCAGACAACUUUUUCUCAUCUAACAAUAACAAUUGCUGCUACUAUACAAAUAAAGACUACAAUCAGAGGAUUAAAACUGAGAAUAAAUUAUCAAUUAUCCACUUUAACUGUAGAAGUCUCUAUGCUAAUUUUAGUCAUAUCAAAGAAUAUCUUAACCAGUUUUCACAUCCAUUUAGUGUCAUUGCCUUAUCAGAAACUUGGAUCAAUAUGGAAAAAGGAACAGACUUUGAACUGGAGGGUUAUGAAUUCACAUUUAUAACUAGGCGAAACAAAGGAGGAGGAGGAGUGGCCUUGUAUGUGGACAAAUCCUUGAAAUUUAAUGUGGUGGAAAAGAUGACGAUGGUGAUUGAUAAUGUACUAGAAAGCUCUUACUGGAACAGUGGCGCGGCUGCCCCUCUGUUGGUCUUCCAUGGUUUCUUGUGUUCUGGGGGCCUCUGGAUGUCUGGAGUUUUGAUCUCCUCCAUACCUGCCUCACACCCUGGAGGACGGGGCUGUGGCCCCCCCACACUCCCUAGCAGAUCAUUACAUGGAGAAACCUUUGGAAUACAAGCGCGCUGAUCCACACAGGUGAUCCAGGAGAUUUUUUUCUCCCCCCCUUUCUCACUGUCCCUCUCCCCUUCUGUUUUUCCUUUCCUUCCUCUUUCUUUCUCCCUUUCCUAUCUCUCACUCAUGUCUGUCCCAUCUGUAACAUCUGAAAAUAAAAUAUAAUAAAUAAUAAAAACAAAGAUCGACCAAAUGGACCAAUACGGCAAUGCCACGAUGAUCCAUUUGGCAAAGUAAAUCCAUUGGGUAUCCUUGUUGGUCUUCAGACAACAAUUCUGAUGGCUAAA
ensembl:lncRNA